CCCCAACUUACUGUAGCAAGCAAACAAACAAGGAAGGAGGCAUGCUGGUUGGCCAGCCCCCACAGCUCUCUGCAGCAGACCCUCUGCCCAGCCCAGCAUUUGCCAGUCUAGCUUUCUGGCAUGCUCUGGUAAAACUGGUGCCGAAGUGAUAGCAAGAGAGAAAGAGUGUCCAGUGACCACGAAGAGAGGCAAGCAGGAUGCUGAAGCUGAAAGAAGUGGCAUGGCCUGCCACUCUACUUCUGCAGAGUACAGUAGAAGUAACUUUUUGUUCAGUCUGGAAUUUCUUGAUUGCACGCUUCUUCUUCAGUUCACAAUCUUUAAGAUAUAUGUCAAAUUUAAGAGCUUCAGCCCUGUUCUGACCAAAGGAGACAGAAAACUUAAUGCGCACAUCACAUGUACUCACCAAUAAAGAAUGGGACUCCAUGGAUGAAUGGAACCCUCCUGCUUUACACGUUCUGCUCAGAGAAGGCAGGGACUUACAGAUGCAAAGUAAUGCUUACAUUCUGUUCUUUUUGGGUAAGUUCUCCUCUUCGUCGGGCCAGUGCUUCCAUCUGCUCUUUAAACUCUUGCCUCUUAGCAAUCAGUUCUGCAGUAACCCGGCCAUGUUCAGCUUCUUUUUGCAGAAGCAGGGUCUUUUGCAGUGUUUUGUUGUGUUUCUGAAGAAUCUCGCUGG